GAACCCACCCAAGGCUGCCUCCCGGACCCGCCACGCAGAGCAGGGACCUCUGCUGCAUGUGUUUCAAGGAUCACAGCAUCUUCUGCUUCCCAGAGACGAGUGAAGAUUAGAA